UACGUAGGGGGCUAGCGUUGUCCGGAUUUAUUGGGCGUAAAGAGCGUGUAGGCGGCCAUGUAAGUCAGGUGUGAAAUUUCGGAGCUUAACUCCGAAACUGCAUUUGAUACUGCGGUGCUUGAGGACUGGAGAGGAGAUUGGAAUUCACGGUGUAGCAGUGAAAUGCGUAGAUAUCGUGAGGAAGACCAGUGGCGAAGGCGGAUCUCUGGACAGUUCCUGACACUGAGGCACGAAGGCCAGGGGAGCAAACGGG
rnacentral:rRNA from 1 species